rnacentral:rRNA from 1 species
UUGCCGGCGACCGGCGCACGGGUGAGUAACACGUAUGCAACCUGCCCGUCUCAGGGGGAUAAUCGUCGGAAACGGCGUCUAAUACCCCGUAUGAAGCUGGACGGCAUCGUCUGGUUUUGAAAGAAUAUCGGAGACGGAUGGGCAUGCGGCGCAUUAGCUAGUUGGCGGGGUAACGGCCCACCAAGGCGACGAUGCGUAGGGGUUCUGAGAGGAAGGUCCCCCACACUGGUACUGAGACACGGACCAGACUCCUACGGAAGGCAGCAG